rfam:Aureococcus anophagefferens unplaced genomic scaffold ATRANscaffold_3, whole genome shotgun sequence.
AACCAGUUGGCGCAAUGGACAGCGUACCAGACUUCGAUCCUCGAUCUGUCGACGGUAGCCAUCUGGGGGUUGCGGGUUCGAGUCCCGUACUGGUUA